rnacentral:rRNA from 1 species
UUAAUGUAUACAAUGGAGGCGCGAGGGCUGUUGCUGACUCUUUGAGGGGUCGUGCACGCUCGAGUGCCCUCACACAUCCACUCACCCCCUUGUGCAUCACCGCGUGGGGCUUCUUUCAGACUUGUUCUGAGAGGGGGCCUGCGUUUUUAACACAAACACCUAGUGUAGAAUGUCCUUUUCACGCGAUGACGUGUGAUCAAUACAACUUUCAACAACGGAUCUCUUGGCUCUCGCAUCGAUGAAGAACGCAGCGAAAUGCGAUACGUAAUGUGAAUUGCAGAAUUCAGUGAAUCAUCGAAUCUUUGAACGCACCUUGCGCCCCUUGGCAUUCCGAGGGGCACACCCGUUUGAGUGUCGUGACAUCCUCAACCUUCUUGGUUUCUUGAUCAAAGAAGGCUUGGAAUUUGGAGGUUUAUGCUGGCCUCUCUGAAGGCCAGCUCCUCUCAAAAGGAUUAGCUGGGUCCACUUGGCUGACCCCUCGACGUGAUAAGAUGCUUCUACGUCUUGGGUUUUGCUUCAGUCCCUUUGGGGAAACCCUGCUUCUAACUGUCUCAAAAGAGACUGUGUUUCGAGCCUCUUAAGGAAGCUCGAUCCACCGAACCUUGACCUCAAAUCGGGUGAGACUACCCGCUGAACUUAAGCAUAUCAAUAAGCCGGAGG